rnacentral:rRNA from 1 species
GAUGAACGCUAGCGGCAGGCUUAAUACAUGCAAGUCGAGGGGUAGCAAGAUUGUAGCAAUACAAUUGUUGACGACCGGCAAACGGGUGCGGAACACGUACACAACCUUCCUACAAGUGGGGAAUAGCCCAGAGAAAUUUGGAUUAAUACCCCGUAACAUAGCGAUGUGGCAUCACAUUUCUAUUAUAGCUUCGGCGCUUGUUGAUGGGUGUGCGGCUGAUUAGAUAGUUGGCGGGGUAACGGCCCACCAAGUCUACGAUCAGUAGCUGAUGUGAGAGCAUGAUCAGCCACACGGGCACUGAGACACGGGCCCGACUCCUACGGGAGGCAGCAGUAAGGAAUAUUGGACAAUGGACGCAAGUCUGAUCCAGCCAUGCCGCGUGAAGGAUUAGGGUCCUCUGGAUUGUAAACUUCUUUUAUAAGGGACGAAAAAAGGUCUUUCUAGAUCGUCUGACGGUACCUUAUGAAUAAGCACCGGCUAACUCCGUGCCAGCCGCCGCCGUAAAAC